GCUCAGCAGUGAGCUCCUGUGCAAAGACCAUGGGCUGCAUGUGCUGGUUCUAAUCCCGCUUCUCCACCCCUAAUAAAGUAUGACCCGCCACACUUUCAUCAGCUGUGACAUGAGGAUGACAGCCCUUCCUCAUUUAUCAGUCACCUCCAUGGGCAACCAACUCCCCCAUGCUCCAGGACUGCUCAAGUCAGGGCCUGGGGCCAGGCACAGGCUCUCACUGGGCCACUGGCCCCUCAGGUUUGACAUCUCUGCUGUUUAUCCCAACCGGAAAAAGCUCUGCACCUUCACUGAGGCCCCGUACUCCACGCGUUAUUCUGUGGAAGUGUCCCACAUAGGCCCUGGGACCUACAGCUCCAAGGAGACCUGCUUCAGCAAGAAGAAGCUGAUGAAGGAGGUGGACACAGGCUCGGCUAAGGCCCAGGAAGCCACGCGGCUGACCCAGCUACCCCACUUCCAGUACCAGCCCAUCAUGAAAGAGAAGCGGCUGCAGGAGCAAAAGCUGGGGCCUGGCUCCUACAACCUCAAAGACUUCUUAGAACAGCUGCAGGAGAAACCAUGUAGCACCCGGGGGCUGCUCAGCUCUGGGGAGGUUCGCUUCCGAGGACUCAUUGGGAACUACUAUCCGGGCCCUGGAAAUUAUGGGGAGAAGGGCAACCCAUACACCAAGCUGGAGGAGAAUGCCUGGAACCGGUCCCAUUCCGAGGGCCUCAUGUGCAGGAUGAGCAACAAGCCGCACCCCCGGGCUCAUCAGGGCAGUGGUCUGGCACCUGGCACCUACUCCAUCAAAAGCGGCAUUGAUACGUAUGUGGCACAAUCUGUUGGCACUCGUGGUCCCUAUGACACUUUCUCUGGUGAUCGGAGCAAGCCGCUGCCCUAUGGGCACUACUCCAUGCAGAAAGAAAAGCCCAGGGAACUGAUGAACUUCAAGAGCUUCGUAGAAGAACUUAACUCACGUCACAAUAAGAAGCGUGGGGUUUUUUCUAAACUUCCCCGCAACCCGAAAAUCCCUACAGAGAGGAUUUACUGGUCUAACCCUAGCCAGUGCCCCCGCCUUCUGGCCACAUCUGGCCCUGGUUUCUGGCUUCCACAAGAGAAGAAAUGCAAAUCUGUCAACCAGCCACCAUUCCUAUUCUCCUCCAAGGGGUCAGGUGCAAAGGCCUGCCAGAUGAUUUUGGGAAGCUGGAACCCCGUAGGUGUGGGCCGCUACCUCAACACCUGGCUGAUGGAGACAAAGGACAGGCGGCAGCGGUAUCGGUCCUUAUACCUGCCUGGAUCCAAACGCUACCUCUCAGACCUGGCCCGGGACAGGCUCAUGCAGGAAAGGAUCACACCAAUUGCUAAGGGGAAGUGCCCUCCAACUGUGGAUUACAAUUCAGAUCCCACUCCUUAAAGCCACAUGUGAAGGACAGCUCGCAGUGACCAGAGAACCCAAAGGCCUGAAAACAAUUCUGGGGACAACCAGCUGCCCAUGCCCACUAGCUGAUCCUCAGAACCUGGUUGCAGCAGGACUGCCUACGUGUGACGCCCACUCACUUCUGUUACUUGUGGUCCUUGUUUCAAGGGGGUGCUGAAGACACACUGAGAACCUGACGUUAAGAUUGGGAAAAAUCACUCCCUCCUGAGCGACCAGAAAGGUACUGAGAACCUGAUGCUACUUUUUUCAGAUUUACGUGCCAGAGUGUUCAACCCAAUCACCUGCAGGACCACUUCAAGAAACUGAAGUGGAAUUUGGUGGUUAUGAAGCAUUUAUUAUUUUUUUUUUUGGCUGUGGAACUCUUUUUUUCUUUUUCCUCAAACAAAAGCUUUUAGGGAAAGUCCAAUAUAAAACAUGGAGCUACUUUGAAUCAAGCUGGGUGAGGCUGGAGUCCAGCCCUCUGGCCAGCCCCUGUGCCCUCCUUCCCCAGAGAUUGUUUGGAACCAGGCGGUACAGUAGAAGGUGGGCAGUGGGUGAGCUCACAGUAGAAGGUGGGCAGUGGGUGAGCUCACAGUAGAAGGUGGGCAGUGGGUGAGCUCACAGUAGAAGGUGGGCAGUGGGUGAGCUCCGCCCCCUGUCAGAUCAGCCUUGGCAUUAGAUUCUCACAGGAGCCAAACCCGAUUGUGAACGGCAAAUGUGAGGGAUCCAGGUUGCGUGCUCCUUAUGAGAAUAUAACUAAUGCCUGAUGAGCUGAGGUAGAACAGUUUCAUCCUGAAACCAUACUUCCCUGCUGCCCCGUCCCACCCCACCCUGAUCUGUGGAAAAACUGUCUUCCAUGAAACCAGUCUCUGGUGCCAAAAAGGCUGGGACCGCUGUAAUAAAGGAGUUAUGUCCAGAAUAUAUAUGUGAAUUCAUAUAUAUCUCAAUAAGAAACAUCAAAAUAAAAAAUGUAUAAAAGAUGUAACAGACACUUUACCAAGAAUAUAUACGGAUGCAAAUAAGCACAUGAAAAUAAACUCAAUGUCAUUAGUCAUUAAAGAAAUGCAAAUUAAAGCCACAAUGAGAGACCACUACCCACCUAUUAGGAUAGCUAAAAUUAAAAAGACUGACCAUACCAAGUGUUGGUGAGGAUGUGGAACUCUCAUACACUGCUGGUGGAAAUGUAAAAUGGUACAACUAUCUCAGUUCAUGUAGAAGAUGUUAACAUCAGGGGAAGGCAGGUGACGGGAAUUGCUGUACUACCACUGCAACUUUUCUGUAGAAUUAAUUACAAAUAAAUAUAAAAGUAAUUAAACAAGUUAAAAUAUAUGCAAUACAACUUUUUAGAGAGACCGUUUAUCUUCCAAAAUAAAUACAUUUGCUCAAAUAUGUCUGUCGGCUGUUAUAGACAGUCACUUUCACUGCAGAGAAGGUCAGCAAGGCCAGGCAUGGUGGCUCACACCUGUAAUUCCAGCACUUUGGGAGGCCAAGGCAGGCAGAUCACCUGAGGUCAGGGGUUCGAGACCAGCCUUGCCAACAUGGUGAAACCCCAUCUCUACUAAACAUACAAAAGAAAAAUUAAACCCCGUCUCUACUGAAAAUACAAACAAACAAAAAUUAACCAGGCGUGGUGGCAGGCACCUGUAAUUCCAGCUACUCAGGAGGCUGAGGCAGGAGAAUUGCUUGAACCCAGGAGGCGGAGGUUGCAGUGAGCCGAGAUUGAGCCAUUACACUGCAGCCCAGCCUGGGUGAUAGAGCGAGACUCCAUCUCAAAAAACAAAACAAACAAAAAAAAAAAACAAAAAAAGAGAGAAGGUCAGCAAAUUUGUAAUGCUUGCAUUUUUAUAAGAGAAACCUGUGUAACCACUUUGUUUAUUUAUUGAGACAGGGUCUUGCUGUGUCCAGCCCAGGCAGGAGUGCAGUGGCGUGAUCAUGGCUAAGUACAGUCUCAUCUCCUGGGCUCAAACAAUGCUCACACCUCUCAGCCUCUCAAGUAGCUGGGACUAUAGGCUGCACCACCAUGCCUGGCUAAUGUUUUUGUAUUUUUAAGAGAUGGGGUCUUGCUAUGUUAACCAGGUUGGUCUCAAACUCCUGGGCUCAAGCAGUCUUCCCACCCUGGCCUCCUUAAGUGCUGGGAUUAUAGGCAUGAACCACUGAGGCUGGCCACAACUUAUUUUUUUUGAGACAAAGUCUUGCUUUGUCCCCCAGGCUGGAGUGUAGUGGCACGUUGUUGGCUCACUGCAACCUCUGCCUCCCAGAUCCAAUCAAUUCUCAUGCCUCAGUCCCCCAAGCAACUGGGACUACAGGGAUGAGCCACCACGCCCAGUUAUAUUUGUAUUUUUAGUAGAGAUGGGGUUUUGGCUGGCCUCAAACUCCUACCAGCCUCAGCCUCUCAAAGUGCUAGGAUUACAGGUAUGAGGCACCACUCUGGCCCCUGGCCACAACUUUAAAUUAAGUAAUUCUUUUAAAAUAUUUUGCCAUGAGAUAAGAAUGAGUUCAUGUGUGUUACAAAAAUAAUGUGUGCUGAGGAGGGACACUCAUCUAUAAUGGAGCAAAAGGCUCUCUGGAUACCACAGCCGGCUUUGCUGCCUUUGGAGGGCUAGAAGUGCUAGGGACUCCACAGCGCUCUCACUGAGGGAAGUUGGUAUAUAUCCCUCACCCCUUGUGGGAGGUACCUUUGAAAUGCAUGUUUUACACUGGUUUCCAGUUUUCCCAGUGCAGUUAUACUUCAGUGGCCCCCAGUGGUAACCUGCUUGAGAAUGAACCCAUUACUGGCUAUCAUCCCUUCCCCAUCCCCUACUGGUGCUUUCUUCACCUCCCAAAUAAACUGCUUGCAUUCAAACCCUUGUCUUAGGGUUGGCUUCUAGGAAAACCCAAACCAAGACAAACACUAACAUUUUUUCAGGCAUCCCGAUGGAUCAUCGUGCUGUUACACCCUGGGCUUUGGAACCUCAUUUGGUGACCACCGCUCUGCUCUGUGACAGUAACUACAUCUGUCUAGCCUCUCCUUGCACACCUUCCCAGUGGCAGGCAGUGCCCUCCCAGUGCAGGGCAGCUAUGAUUGAUUGUAAAAGGGUCCUUUGGAUGUUGAGCUGAAAUCUAGCUUGUUUUGACCUUUGUCCUCCUGGCUGGGCAGGGCUGUAAGAGGUCAUGGAGUUCUGCAGUUUGUUAGCAGGGCUCUGCUGGGGCUUCCAGCAAUCCCUGGGGAAGGAGGGCACAGGGGUGGGCCAGGAGGCUGGACUCCUGGCCUCAUCCAGCUUGUCUCAAAGUAGCUACAUGUUCAUUAUAUAUUGGACUUUCCCUAAAAGCUUUGUUUGCGGAAAAAGAGCUCUACAGCCAAAAAUUAAAUGAAUAUUUAAUCACCACCACAUUCUCCUUCAGUCUCUUGAAGUGGUCCUGCAGGUGACUGGGAUGAACACUCCAGCACAUAAAUCUUAUAAAAGUAAAACAUCAGGCUCUAGCACCCCCCUGCUUGCUCAGGAGGGUAGUGAUCUCUCCCACUCCAGUGUGAGAUGCUGCCAGGUUGUGGGAAGCCCUGAGCAGGCCAAAGAUAGCCUUUUAUAAGCCAUGCCACCAGACUUAACAUCCAGGUUCUUACUAUGCCUUCAGCGCCACCUUGCAACAUGGACCACAGGUAACGAGUGGGCAUCACAGGUAGGCAGUCUUGCUGCAACCAGGUUCUGAAGAUCAGCUAGUGGGCACGGGCGGCGGGUCAUCUGCAAUGCCUUGGCAAGGUGAAGCAUGGCUGGCAUAGCUGCUCACUUUACAAGAAGCUGAAGCCCAUAGGAGGAACAAGUUUACACUAGUUGCACGGUGGUUGUUUUAGCAAACAUUGUUAAAGAAUGGGACUUUGCUGUGUUAGGUUCUUAUCAAUACCUAAGGGUGAUGGUUCUGACCACCAUGAAUAGGGUACUGUGCUGUCUUUGGCUUUUUACCUUGAGGCCACAACAUCCCUGGUCACAGCUCUGGGAAGCUCCCCUUGUUCAAAGCUCAGGUCCUCCCAUCCUCAUCGCUGUGGGUUGCUCGAUGCCUGUCCUGGGCCUGAGCAAGCCCAGGUCCCAUGGGCUCAGACCCUGCCACAGUCCUUUGGCCCUGAAGGCAGUUUCACCUUCUCCAGCUUGACCCUUGGAGCUCCUCCUUCUCAGAAAGUUUAUACCUGUUUCCAGGUUUGGUGGACCCACUCCCUUUUCCUGGACCUGCUGCAGCAUUAGCCAGGGAAUGGGGGUUCACUAAUAAUGAGAAUGGAUGAACAAGGAAGUGGGGAAUAAUUGUAGAGAUGUAGAAGGUUCAGAAGCCUGAGAGGUGAAUAUACUGAGGCCAGAGCCAGGGUGCAGGAGCCAUCUUUCCUACUAAGCUUGGAUUUGGAGGGCUUAUUAGGAGAGGUCUCUGCUAGGUGGUAUGCUGGUAAAUGUUUGUCUCUCAAAACAAAACAAAGCCUGUGAUGGUUAAUUUUAUGUGUCAAUUUGACAGGGCUAUGGGGUGCCCAGACAUGUGACCAAAUAUUAUCUUGGGUGUGUCUGUGAGGGUGUUUCUGGAAGAAAUUAACAUUGAAUCAGACUGAGCAAAGCA